UGCCCAGCAACUCCUAUCCCUACCUCCACGCGGUACCGGCCGGAAACUAUGAGCAACCUUAGGGAAGAUCGUUUUACCAACCCCGGUGGGAACUUUGGUCGUAGGUUGACAGGGAAGG
rnacentral:ribozyme from 1 species